rnacentral:rRNA from 1 species
UACUCCUACGGGAGGCAGCAGUGGGGAAUAUUGGGCAAUGGGCGCAAGCCUGACCCAGCAACGCCGCGUGAGGGAAGAAGGCUUUCGGAUUGUAAACCUCUGUCCUUGGUGACGAAAAAAAUGACGGUAGCCAAGGAGGAAGCCCCGGCUAACUACGUGCCAGCAGCCGCGGUAAUACGUAGGGGGCGAGCGUUGUCCGGAAUUACUGGGCGUAAAGGGUGCGUAGGUGGCCUUUUAAGUUGGAUGUGAAAUACCCGGGCUUAACUUGGGGGGUGCAUCCAAAACUGGGAGGCUAGAGUGCAGGAGAGGAAAGCGGAAUUCCUAGUGUAGCGGUGAAAUGCGUAGAUAUUAGGAGGAACACCAGUGGCGAAGGCGGCUUUCUGGACUGUAACUGACACUGAGGCACGAAAGCGUGA